rnacentral:rRNA from 1 species
UUCCAUCUGGAAGAAUCUGGAGACAGGUGCUGCAUGGCUGUCGUCAGCUCGUGUCGUGAGGUGUCGGGUUAAGUCCCAUAACGAGCGCAACCCCUACCUUUAGUUGCCAUCAGGUUAAGCUGGGGACUCUAAAGGAACUGCCUACGCAAGUAGUGAGGAAGGCGGGGAUGACGUCAAAUCAGCACGGCCCUUACGUCCAGGGCUACACACGUGCUACAAUGGCCGAUACAGAGGGCAGCUACCUGGUGACAGGAUGCAAAUCUCCAAAGUCGGUCUCAGUUCGGAUCGGAGUCUGCAACCCGACUCCGUGAAGUUAGAUUCGCUAGUAAUCGCGCAUCAGCCAUGGCGCGGUGAAUACGUUCCCGGGCCUU